rnacentral:misc_RNA from 1 species
UGCCAUUCCAUUGACCCAGCAGUUGAAGUACUACAAGGAAUACCAAACAAAAGUAGUGAACUUGGUAGGAAACGCCAAGGCAGAUGAGAUAUUAUCUGGUGGUAUCCAUCUGUUGAGUGCUGGAAGCAGUGAUUUUAUUCAGAAUUACUAUAUCAAUCCCCUUCUUAAUGGAGUCUACUCAGCUGAUCUCUUCUCCAAUAGACUCAUGCGAUUUUACUCAACUUUCAUUCAGAAUCUCUACGGACUGGGAGCAAGAAGGAUUGGAGUGACAAGCCUACCACCAACCGGGUGUUUGCCUGCAGCUAUUACCCUCUUUGGUGCAGGAAGCAAUCAGUGUGUUGAGAGGUUAAACCGUGAUGCCAUUGCCUUCAACGAGAAAUUAAACAGCACUUCCAAAAGCCUGGCAAACAAUCUACCCGGCCUCAAACUUGUGGUCUUUGAUAUCUAUGAGCCCCUCUUGGAUAUGAUCUUGAAGCCCAGUGAUAACGGGUUAUUUGAGUCGAGAAAGGCUUGCUGUGGAACAGGUACUUUAGAGACAUCAGUUCUCUGCAAUGCAAGG